AGUACGCGCUUGCAGCCGAGAGUGCUUCUUCAUAUGAAAUUAGAUAUGAAUAUUGAUUCAUUUUAAAAAUGUGUUUCUAUUUCUACCGCUUAAUGCGACGUAAUUUUUUGGCAGAGAAAAAACUGAGAGUUAUGGCUUUUACAUAUAAAAUAACGAGAUGAGAAGAGGGAUUGGUUCAGUAAUACACAAAUCUAACUUUAUUCACAUUUUUUUUUGUUGUUUUCUUUUCCGCUGAAUCAUCGAAGAAAUGAUCUUGAGAGAACAGAACCUCUGCGAUACGAAUAGCAAUUACAAGUAAAUAUGUACAAUAAUAUAUAAUAAAUGAUGGUUGCCCUUCUUUUUUUCUUUCUCUUCCUCAACAGUCGUCUUACUUCGCUCAA